rnacentral:rRNA from 1 species
GACGAACGCUGGCGGCGUGCUUAACACAUGCAAGUCGAACGGAAAGGCCCUGCUUUUGUGGGGUGCUCGAGUGGCGAACGGGUGAGUAACACGUGAGUAACCUGCCCUUGACUUUGGGAUAACUUCAGGAAACUGGGGCUAAUACCGGAUAGGAGCUCCUGCUGCAUGGUGGGGGUUGGAAAGUUUCGGCGGUUGGGGAUGGACUCGCGGCUUACCAGCUUGUUGGUUGGGUAGUGGCUUACCCAGGCUUUGACGGGUAGCCGGCCUGAGAGGGUGACCGGCGACAUGGGGACUAAGAUACGGCGCAGACUCCAACGGGAGACAGCAGUGGGGAAUAUUGCACAGUGGGCGGGAGCCUGAUGCAGAAACGCCGCGUGCGGGAUGACGGCCUUCGGGUUAUAAACCGCUUUAGCCUGUGACGAAGCGUGAGUGACGGUAAUGGGUAAAGAAGCACCGGCUAACUACGUG